UACGUAGGGGGCAAGCGUUGUUCGGAAUUACUGGGCGUAAAGCGCACGUAGGCGGCUUUGUAAGUUAGAGGUGAAAGCCCGGAGCUCAACUCCGGAAUUGCCUUUAAGACUGCAUCGCUAGAAUUGUGGAGAGGUGAGUGGAAUUCCGAGUGUAGAGGUGAAAUUCGUAGAUAUUCGGAAGAACACCAGUGGCGAAGGCGACUCACUGGACACAUAUUGACGCUGAGGUGCGAAAGCGUGGGGAGCAAACAGG
rnacentral:rRNA from 1 species